rnacentral:lncRNA from 1 species
UCCCCUAACACAUGAACACAUUGCAGCUGUUUUGUAUUCAGGGUUUGUGUAAUGCUAUCAAUUCUCUUCCACUUUGUUUCUUCUCCUUGCUCCCUCAGAAGAAUAAAGUAACUCUAAAGUAAAAAAGAAAGAAAUCAUUCCUUAACUACCUUGAGAAAUAUGUUGGCGUGACUGUGAAAGCUAAGUAAGACUGAGGGAUACAGGGUCUUGAGAUAUAAAAGUUGCCACAGUUAGUGAAAAGAUCCAGAGAUUUUCCUCAGAAGCAUCUGAGGAAAGAAAAUUCAGUGAAAUUUCAUGGAAUCAGAAAAAACAAUCUGCUACAGUACAUAUCCAGAAAUUUUUCUAAAUAAAACCAGAAAACUUCUGAUAAACAAAUGAUGAACAUUUGCAGGGAAAUGAAAAUUCUUAUGCAUGAACAGGAAUGUGACCCAGGGCAGUACCUCCUAGUCCCUUGGGAAUUACAGAACAUUUGAAAGAAAUUAGAAAUUCCGAUGAAUUAGGAAAUGUAUGAAUGAAAGAGCCUGGAAACCAACAGGAUAGAUCAUGAACUUCACAGCACUAAGAUUUCUUUAAACCUCAUGUUCCUGCAAAAAACACAAUCAAGUAUUCAGCAGAUUUUUAAUAAGACUCAUUUUGUUACACAUUUCAAACCAUCCUGAUUUUUCUUUCAGAAAAUCACUCGCACAAGCAGCAACUACGUUCUCAAAUGCAGAAUUAUGUUAGCAAUAACAUAAUUUUUCUUUUAACAAGUACAAUAUGAAAUCCAUAUUAUUUUUGCAUUUUCUAGAACUCAAGCUAUUGGCAGUCUUUGAACCUCAUCCUCCAAAGUUUCUCCAAGGUAAAAAAGGGAAGAUAUUGGCCAAGGCACCUCAGGAGACAAAACCAGCUGGGUUUCAUUAUGGUCUUGAGAAUGGUUGUAUUGAGAGAUUAGUCAGGCCUAAGAAACAACUUCCUUUAUUCUACUCAGUUUGGAAGCAGAUACACCUCACAAGAGCAGUAGAAAUCAAUAUUAGUCUGAACCACAAUGAGCCUUCAUAUUCAGAAGUUCAGCUGCAACUGGGGUCAAAAAGAGCAGAGAAAGAGUAUUUGAAUAGUACAGUGAUCCAUGAAUCAAUUCAAGGCAGUAAAUAACAUCUGUGCCUGAGUGAGCUAUAAUACUUUAUAAAACAAUAACACUUCUGAUUGAUAGGAAAGUUUUCUAUCAUACCAUAGGCAAAACUGUUGCCAAUGUAAUCUUUUCUCCUAGGGAAAGGGGCAUUUGUGAUCAUUCCUUCCUGCAUUAACUUUCAGCUUGCCAGCUUCAGAGGCAAAGAUUAAAGGUAUUGUAUUUAAGUUAUAUGUUUGGCAACAAAUCAUGUUCGUGUGGAUUGAAGAGACCUGGUUAACACUUUGCCAGUCUUACAAAGCAGGAAUCUGCUAGGGCACAGAGACCUCUGUCCCUGCCAGCAGGCAGGUGGGAAAAUAAAAAAAAAAA